ensembl:lncRNA
GUGUUGGCGAGCUGUGCGGCGUGCUGCCUUACCGCCCUCUGGUGCCCUGUGGGGGCUCGGGCGUGCAGGCGGGUGGCGUCUGCCGCGCUAAGGGAGGGAAGAAGGGAGCCGGGAGAGCUGUUGCUGGGGUGGUUAUCAAACUGCGGAGGAGCUUUGAUCUGGGAGCAGGGACCUUUACUGAUCGAUGCCGUAUUAAUAGCAGCCCUUGAAGAUUGCUCUGUACAUUGGCUUGUAAAUCCAGCUCCUUCUCUGCACCGUUUGGUACCAAGUGCCUUAAUGAAAUCCAGGAAAGAAGUUGUUUAAACCUGCUUUUAUCCUCCAAAUCUGGAAGAAGAACAACUCAAGGGCUGGACUCCUGGCUGGAGACAGCGUGCUAACACUGAUAAAAAUAAUUAAGGUUUAUGGCCUAGAAAGGCGGGUAGAUGUGACGUGAUCGGUUCUAAAUGCUGCUGGGAACGUUGCACACAGGAAAAUUUCCAUUAAACCUGGAAUACCGCCCCCAUGCUUGAGCUUGGAGGAACAGUGACGACUCUUUAUUUGCCAAAGGGUGUAUGGCUUCGUUAUUAAAACCUGCGCUGGAGUUCAGUACCUCUUCUCCCUCCUGUCGGGCCGUCGUUUCGCCUCUCGGCGCAGUUCGGAAGGCCGCCGCCGCCACCUAGUGACAGCUCUGCGCACUGUGACAGCCCUGCACGCAGUGACAGCCCUGCACACAGUGACGGCCUUGUACGUACUGGCACCGAGACCUGCGGCGAUACACUGCUCUGGUCCCCACGUGCGGUGUGUGAGCACCUGGAGAGGACUUCUCCUUCCUCUGUGUGUUUGGAGGAUGCGCUCAUGGAAAUCUUCCACUCUAACACACGGUGGUAAAACCGUUUCUAAAGCCUAGGAUUGAGCAAAGCGUUUCUGAGACAGGACAAGAGGUAACGACCAUACACUGCACCAGGGGAGGUUCAGGUUGGAUAUCAGGAAACAUUUCUUCUCAGAAAGAGUGGUGAGGCAUUGGAACGGGCUGCCCAGGGAGGUGGUGGAGUCACUAUUCCUGGAGGUGUUCAAAGAACAUAUAGGAGUGGCACUGAGAGACAUAGUUUAAUGGGCAUGGGUGAGUGGCUGGACUAGAUCUGUUUACUGGUCUUUUCCAAAUGUAAUGUGCAAAGAGAGAGCCUAAAAGAAAUUGAAACAACAUUUAAAAAGAAAAAAAAAAUCUUUACAGGCAGAAGCAUGUGGGAGAGGUGGACAUAUAAAAGGUCCAGCUUAGAGGCUGUAAAGGAAAUUUAAUCAAAUAAUAAAAGCUGUCUUGGCCAUAUAAAGAAAAAUUAAGAGAAAUGGAUGUCUUACAUAUUGUAGGUGUUGGCAUUAAAAUGAAUCUAGGCACUGCCCCAAACUAUUUGUCUCAGCUUUGGUAAUGAUACUGGCAUUAUACACAGAAGCAAAAUCAAAACAGUGAAUGUGAGUGGGUGUGGAAACAGAUGUUAUUACAGGCAAGGUAAAAGCAAAGUGCAAAGAGCUCAGCUCUUGAGGAGGCUCAGAAACAGAGAUAAUAAAGCUCAUGAUAAGAGUUUUAAUGCAUUUGCUGAAACAGUUGCAAUGCCAUGUGAUUAAACAUUAGACAUUGAAGUAAG